rnacentral:rRNA from 1 species
CCUGGCUCACGAUGAACGCUGGCGGCGCGCCUAACACAUGCAAGUCGAACGGAGCUUAGAGAGCUUGCUUUUUAAGCUUAGUGGCGAACGGGUGGGUAACGCGUGAGUAACCUGCCCUAGAGUGGGGGACAACAGUUGGAAACGACUGCUAAUACCGCAUAAGCCCACGGUACCGCAUGGUACUGAGGGAAAAGGAUUUAUUCGCUUUAGGAUGGACUCGCGUCCAAUUAGCUAGUUGGUGAGGUAACGGCCCACCAAGGCGACGAUUGGUAGCCGGACUGAGAGGUUGAACGGCCACAUUGGGACUGAGACACGGCCCAGACUCCUACGGGAGGCAGCAGUGGGGGAUAUUGCACAAUGGGGGAAACCCUGAUGCAGCGACGCCGCGUGGAGGAAGAAGGUUUUCGGAUUGUAAACUCCUGUCGUUAGGGACGAUAAUGACGGUACCCAACAAGAAAGCACCGGCUAACUACGUGCCAGCAGCCGCGGUAAAACGUAGGGUGCAAGCGUUGUCCGGAAUUACUGGGUGUAAAGGGAGCGCAGGCGGAAGACAAGUUGGAAGUGAAAACCAUGGGCUCAACCCAUGAAUUGCUUUCAAAACUGUUUUUCUUGAGUAGUGCAGAGGUAGAUGGAAUUCCCGGUGUAGCGGUGGAAUGCGUAGAUAUCGGGAGGACCACCAGUGGCGAAGGCGGUCUACCGGGCACCAACUGACGCUGAGGCUCGAAAGCAUGGGUAGCAAACAGGAUUAGAUACCCUGGUAGUCCAUGCCGUAAACGAUGAUUACUAGGUGUUGGGGGAUUGACCCCCUCAGUGCCGCAGUUAACACAAUAAGUAAUCCACCUGGGGAGUACGACCGCAAGGUUGAAACUCAAAGGAAUUGACGGGGGCCCGCACAAGCAGUGGAGUAUGUGGUUUAAUUCGAAGCAACGCGAAGAACCUUACCAGGUCUUGACAUCCGAUGCAUAACACAGAGAUGUGUGAAAUCCUUCGGGACAUCGAGACAGGUGGUGCAUGGUUGUCGUCAGCUCGUGUCGUGAGAUGUUGGGUUAAGUCCCGCAACGAGCGCAACCCUUAUUGCCAGUUACUACGUUAAGAGGACUCUGGCGAGACUGCCGUUGACAAAACGGAGGAAGGUGGGGAUGACGUCAAAUCAUCAUGCCCUUUAUGACCUGGGCUACACACGUACUACAAUGGCGUUAAACAAAGAGAAGCAAGACCGCGAGGUGGAGCAAAACUCAAAAACAACGUCUCAGUUCAGAUUGCAGGCUGCAACUCGCCUGCAUGAAGUCGGAAUUGCUAGUAAUCGCGGAUCAGCAUGCCGCGGUGAAUACGUUCCCGGGCCUUGUACACACCGC